GCGAAAACUUUACAAUGCGGGAAACCGUGAUAAGGGAACUCCGAGUGCCCGUUAAAUCGGGCUGUCCAUCAGUUUAAAAAACUGGUGAAGAAAGGGCCGGGCAAGACCGGUGCCAGCCGCCGCGGUAACACCGGCGGCUCGAGUGGUGGCCACUAUUACUGGGCUUAAAGCGUUCGUAGCUGGUCUGUUAAGUCUCUGGGGAAAUCUGCCGGCUUAACCGGCAGGCGUUUCAGGGAUACUGGCAGGCUAGGGACCGGGAGAGGUGAGAGGUACUUCAGGGGUAGGAGUGAAAUCCUGUAAUCCUUGGGGGACCACCUGUGGCGAAGGCGUCUCACCAGAACGGCUCCGACAGUGAGGGACGAAAGCUGGGGGAGCAAACCGGAUUAGAUACCCGGGUAGUCCCAGCUGUAAACGAUGCGCGUUAGGUGUAUCGGUGACCACGAGUCACCGAGGUGCCGAAGAGAAAUCGUGAAACGUGCCGCCUGGGAAGUACGGUCGCAAGGCUGAAACU
rnacentral:rRNA from 1 species